GUUCUGCGAAAGAACAGGCCCGGUUGAGCGGGACGCAGCGCCUUGGGGGGCUGCCCAUGGGCGAGGCCGCCCCGACUCCCAAGGGGAGCCCAUCCUAGCGGCUCCGGGGAGCCUUGGCCAUACCCCAAGGCGCCAGGAAUCAUUACCAGGAAACGCUUCUCAAGGGGCUGUGAGGCUGUGCCAAGGCUCUGCUAUGGGGAGGGGAGGCCUCCUAUGGCUCCCCUAGAUUCCAGGGGCCCCUUAACCUAGGCAGGCCCCUCGUUCACUCAGCCACUAAGCACAGAAAGGUUUAAGGGACACCGUGUGUCCUUAGCUCAUCCCAUUAUUCAGGGCAGUGGCACACGUACCUGAGGGAUGCAGUCCUGAGAACUUGGCCCCUUGGGGACAGUUCCCAUCUUAUAGCUUUAUCAGAAAGGAGGGUACCUUGGAGAAGACCACUCAGGACCCAGGCAGCUCCAGCCACCAGAUGACAGCCCUUCACUUGUGCCACCCUGGCCCAGUUCAUCUCAAAACAGACUCAUCUGGCCAAGCGCCAGCAUUUCAGCUCAUCACAGGGGAGGAUUAGAAAGGACUAGAGGAAUUUGGUGCUCUCAGCAAUUGGGGAUGACCUCCCCACACCAGAUUCUUCCAGAAAACAUAAAAUGUCAGUGUUUAUAUUCAGGAAAACCUGUGCGAAAAUCACCAUGUACUCCUAUUUUAACUAUUUUCAAGUUCAAAUUUUUAAUCUGAGCUGAUAAGGUGUUACUGAAAUCCUUCAUGCUCUGCGUCCCCAAGUAUUGCCUGGGAGCAGACUUAAAACAAGUCUAGAACCUCCAGGAAGGUUAACACUCCAGAAUUUUGUUCACCAUCACAUCCCCAGGGCCUGACACUCAGUAGGUUGCUGAUACCAUCAGGAGAACAAAUUCUUUGCAGCCUUGUGCACUUCUGCUUAUAUCCUAUAAAACAAAAGGCUGGACCACAGAGUUAAAUUGAAAGAGCAUCCACUGUCCUGCAGAGUGUGGAACAGGGGCUUCUCAACUCUUAAAUUCAGUGACUUUCCAGAAGAAUGUCACCCCUGCUGCUGCUGCUACCCUAGUUGGGGCCAGAAUGUCAGCUCCCUGAGUCUUCACGGUUUCAUUUGCAUACUCCUGAGACCUGGCAUCAUGCCAGGCGCAUAGCAGGACCCACUAAAUGCCAAUGGGAAGGGCAUAUGUGAAUAUAUUCUAAUAUCAGGAGAUACUUAGAUUCUACUAAGUAUAUAUAAACACCUCUGUUCUGGGGCACCUGGGUGGCUCAGUGGUUGGACAUCUGUCUUUGGCUCAGGUCCUGAUCCCGGGGACCUGGGAUUAAGUCCUGCAUUGGGCUCCCUGCAGGGAGCCUGCUUUUCCCUAUGUCUCUGCUUCUGUGUGUCUCGAAUGAAUGAAUGAAUAGAUAAAAUCUUAAAAAAAACAAAACACCUCUGUUCUUACAGACCUAGGAAACUAAACAUUAACUGGAUGAAUAAAUGGAAUUUGGGAGUUGAAAAGGACUUCCCUCAGCUGUCAACUCCAAACCUCUUUUCACAAGUGAUGAGAGGCCCAGAAAGGACUCGUCAUCUGCCUGGCCUCAUGAAUUUUGAAAUCCAUUAUUCCAACAAAGAUUUGACUCUGAUGCUCAGGAAGGGGAUGGAACCUGCAGACAGAGACUCAUGUCCAGGGUCUGGGACCAGCCAUGGACCUGGAACACUCUAUUUCGUACCCAUUGUCUUCCGCACCAUCUGGAUAGAAGUCAGGAGAGCAGGAGGCUCUGCAAUGUUAGUGAACAGACCAGUGAGACAACAAAUUCUUUUAUUUGCCAGCGAAGAGCAACGCAGGUAUCCAGAGAUAGGACGCUACUCUCUAAUCUGACCUCCUGGCUGGGGUAAUGCCACAAAGGCUUCGUUGUUCACUGGCUGUAGGCACAGUAGCUUCUCAAGGAAAAAUAGGGUUUUUCUACAAAAAAAAAAACUUAUGUGAGGUUGACUGGGGAGAGGACAACUAGAAUGGAAACAGUACCAGGACACUCAGCUUCCCUAA